AUCACGAUCCUAAAACUAUUGCCCAGACCUAUGAAGUUCAUUAUAAUCUUAAAAAUAAUAAGAUGCAGCAUAUAAUGGAUCAAAAUAUCUAUUUUAUUAAAUAUCAAUAUCAAUUAUAUGAGUUUGGAAGAUAAAUUAUAAAAAAUACUUAAUCAUAUCCCAUAUGCGAUUGGCUUAUCGGGUAUUAUUUUUUCAAACCUG
rnacentral:lncRNA from 1 species